CCCCCACCACCCCCCACACCCCCUCCUCCACCAUACAAAUACAUCUCCCCACCACCCCCCACACACUCUCCUCCACCAUACAAAUACAACUCCCCACCACCACCAUCACCCUCUCCUCCUCCCCCUUACAUCUACGAGUCCCCUCCACCUCCUGUGAAGUCACCACCACCACCGGUUUACAUUUAUGCAUCUCCCCCACCUCCAGUUCACUAUUAAGCAUAGACCGAUCAUGUAAGUGAAAACCUUCGUUGUCUCUUGCUAUCAUUUACAUUUUCAAUUAUCAUCAAACCAUUUUACUUUUGGGUUAUUAAUUUCCAAUUACAAUUGCAGGUUUUAAUAUAAACAGUGGAAUAAAGGAAGGCUCCCAAAGUGGGAAAUUGAGGCAUCAAGCUUCCAAUCCAAGUCCAUUCAAUAAGGGUCUGGCAGAAACUUCAAUGAUCUACAACAUCAGCAAUUCAGACCAGUGUGUUUCUACUUUGUUGGUGGCCAUCUUGCACAUGAUUUUACUAUAUUCUUCAAGUUGGGAACCAAGCAAGAUUAAAUGGGAAAGUGGGUAAUAUUGGAGGGUUUAAUUUAUCAGCAGGGUCUUGGAAUUAGCUUGGUUGUCACAGUUUCAUUUUUCAGUAUUCCCACUUGGGGUCUCUUAAUUUGUGAUUGUAUAGUGAGUGCUUUGGCCUUUUAAUUGUUUGAUUGGCUUCUAUUUAUUGCGUGGAGAAUAUCAUGUUUCUUGGCCCUUCCUGUGCUCUAGGCACUGAUGAGUAAUUUAGCAAUAAAGAAAGACAUUCAUGUUC
rnacentral:lncRNA from 1 species